UUUGAAGAGAGAGUUCAAGAGUACGUGAAACUGCUGAGAGGCAAACUGGUGGGCCCUCGAAAUCCCGUUUGCGGGGAGAUUCAGUCGGGUGUCGGCGGCCGUCUCUGCAAUGGGUCUGUCGCAACCGAAGAUCGGGGCACAUUCCGAGGAGGCGAGUUCCGCUGGAACCCGACGCAUUUCCCGCCCGCACGAAAGGACGCCGCAGCCGGUCGGGUAGCUGCGCGUGUCGGCCAUGAGGACGUUGCAACGGCAGGUGACCGGCGGCCCUAGGCUUCUUCGGAGGCACUAACGGUCGACGGUUGAUUAGCCGGCUCGUCCGUGGCGCGACACCCGACCGAGGUAAACACGGACUUYAUCUCCACGGAGAUGGUCUUCAAUCCACUACUUUCAAUCUGGAAGAGCGAGCCGUCGGACAGGCGCGUUCCUGCGUGGCCGGGCAGUCACCGCACUGGUCGGUCUGGUGGGAGCGCGUCGUUAGUACCGAGUCAGGAUCUCGCGGAGGACGAAGUAUGGCUGGCGGCGAGUAGGUCGGUAACCCACCCGACCCGUCUUGAAACACGGACCAAGGAGUCUAACAUGUGCGCAAGUCGCGGGGUCUUGUUCAGGCCCAAAGGCGAAAUGAAAGUGAAGGCCGCCGCUUCCCCUUAUUCAGUUAGGGGCGGAGUGAGGCGGCCCGGUUGGGACUCGCACGUGACACGGCACGUGAACGAAGCACCAACGACCCGCCCUGUUCUAUUAUCUCGAUAGGAACUCAAACGGAGUUUGAGCGCACACGUUGGGACCCGAAAGAUGGUGAACUAUGCCUGGGCAGGACGAAGCCAGAGGAAACUCUGGUGGAGGUCCGCAGCGGUUCUGACGU
rnacentral:rRNA from 1 species